rnacentral:tRNA from 1 species
GCCGCUUUAGCUCAGUCUGGCAGAGCACCGGACUUUUAAUCCGGGGGGCGUGGGUUCAAGCCCCACAGGCGGCA